rnacentral:rRNA from 2 species
CUUGCUUGGUGGAUCAGUGGCGAACGGGUGAGUAACACGUGAGCAACCUGCCCUGGACUCUGGGAUAAGCGCUGGAAACGGCGUCUAAUACUGGAUAUGAGCUCUCAUCGCAUGGUGGGGGUUGGAAAGAUUUUUUGGUCUGGGAUGGGCUCGCGGCCUAUCAGCUUGUUGGUGAGGUAAUGGCUCACCAAGGCGUCGACGGGUAGCCGGCCUGAGAGGGUGACCGGCCACACUGGGACUGAGACACGGCCCAGACUCCUACGGGAGGCAGCAGUGGGGAAUAUUGCACAAUGGGCGAAAGCCUGAUGCAGCAACGCCGCGUGAGGGAUGACGGCCUUCGGGUUGUAAACCUCUUUUAGCAGGGAAGAAGCGAAAGUGACGGUACCUGCAGAAAAAGCGCCGGCUAACUACGUGCCAGCAGCCGCGGUAAUACGUAGGGCGCAAGCGUUAUCCGGAAUUAUUGGGCGUAAAGAGCUCGUAGGCGGUUUGUCGCGUCUGCUGUGAAAUCCCGAGGCUCAACCUCGGGCCUGCAGUGGGUACGGGCAGACUAGAGUGCGGUAGGGGAGAUUGGAAUUCCUGGUGUAGCGGUGGAAUGCGCAGAUAUCAGGAGGAACACCGAUGGCGAAGGCAGAUCUCUGGGCCGUAACUGACGCUGAGGAGCGAAAGGGUGGGGAGCAAACAGGCUUAGAUACCCUGGUAGUCCACCCCGUAAACGUUGGGAACUAGUUGUGGGGACCAUUCCACGGUUUCCGUGACGCAGCUAACGCAUUAAGUUCCCCGCCUGGGGAGUACGGCCGCAAGGCUAAAACUCAAAGGAAUUGACGGGGACCCGCACAAGCGGCGGAGCAUGCGGAUUAAUUUGAUGCAACGCGAAGAACCUUACCAAGGCUUGACAUACACCAGAACGGGCCAGAAAUGGUCAACUCUUUGGACACUGGUGAACAGGUGGUGCAUGGUUGUCGUCAGCUCGUGUCGUGAGAUGUUGGGUUAAGUCCCGCAACGAGCGCAACCCUCGUUUUAUGUUGCCAGCACGUAAUGGUGGGAACUCAUGGGAUACUGCCGGGGUCAACUCGGAGGAAGGUGGGG